rnacentral:rRNA from 1 species
AAUGAACGCUGGCGGCAGGCCUAACACAUGCAAGUCGAACGGAUCCUUCGGGAUUAGUGGCGGACGGGUGAGUAACGCGUGGGAACAUACCCAAAGGUACGGAAUAGCCUCGGGAAACUGGGAGUAAUACCGUAUGUGCUCGAAAGAGGAAAGAUUUAUCGCCUUUGGAUUGGCCCGCAUUGGAUUAGGUAGUUGGUGGGGUAAAGGCCUACCAAGCCGACGAUCCAUAGCUGGUUUGAGAGGAUGAUCAGCCACACUGGGACUGAGACACGGCCCAGACUCCUACGGGAGGCAGCAGUGGGGAAUCUUAGACAAUGGGGGAAACCCUGAUCUAGCCAUGCCGCGUGAUCGAUGAGGGCCUUAGGGUUGUAAAGAUCUUUCAGGUGGGAAGAUAGUGACUGUACCACCAGAAGAAGCCCCGGCUAACUCCGUGCCAGCCGCCGCAGUAA